rnacentral:tRNA from 1 species
AUUACUUUGGCAGAUUAGUGCAUUAAAUUUAGAAUUUAAUAGAAAAUAUAUUGAUUUAUAUAGGUAAUA